UAUAUAUAUAUAUAUAUUCAACAAAGUAAAAGGGGAAGAAGAAAAGCUUCAAUUAUUAGCUACAAUUACCAAAAACUAAGUUGAUUGAUGUCUUUUCUACGUUGGAGACGAACCAGAAUACCUUCCGAUCCUCACUUUCGGGCUAAUGCUUCUGUAGAAACUUGUAGUGAUAACAAAUUCAAAGUUUAUCCAAGGGCUCUAAAUAUUACAUGGGGUAACGAUAGACGAUAUUGGACCAUUCCUGGUCGAGACCCGUAAGCUUCAACUUUCUCAUUUUGAUACUUAAUUAGCUAUUAAUUCCUUUUCUUACAACAUAAAUUCAACUUUAAUUUCUCAACUUACCAUAAUUUAACCAAUUUAGGCACAUACUUUCCAUACAUAAGGGGAAAAAUUAACUUCUAAUACCAUACCAUAUAUAUUUUAAACACCAAAAUAAUAAUUAUAGUAAACAAAAUAUACUCUUUUGGUUCCAAUGUUUUCUGUAAUGGGUACCUUUGCUAAUUGAAUUUUCAAAAUAUAACUUUUUAGGCGGUUUCGUUAAAUAAGAUAUUGAAAUGUUAUUCUAUUUUGUUUACUACAUUUAGAGAGUAACUUUUUUUUUAUUAUAUUUUAUUAUUGAAGUUGAAAUUAUAAAAUGUAAUCCAUAAUAAAAAAAUAAGAUUAAUUUACAUAAAAAUAACGAAACCAAAAAAUAUUUAUGAUUUGUGUAAUAAAAAAUUGAAGUCGAUGAAGCCACAAUUAUUUUUUUCAUAAAUUUCAAAUUUGUCAUUUAUUGCUUUUAAUAUUGUGGGACCAUUCUUCCACUUCAUUUCUUUUUCUUCUUCUUUGCGAUUUAUUCUUCUCCUAUUCAUACUAUUAAUUAAUUUCUUCAUAUUAUCAGUUCUCAUUUUUCAUAUUCUCACUUCUUCUUUGCGAUUUAUUCUUCUCCUAUUCAUAUUAUCAAUUCAUUUCUUCAUAUUAUUAGUUCUCAUUUUUCAUAUUCUCACUUCUUCUUGUUUACAAUUUUUUUAUUUUCUCUGCCAGAAUUUCUUUCUUCUUCUUCAUUUCUCAUUUUUUUUCUUGGUACAAGAUCUAAAUGAUUGUGUACCAAUAUUUAAACGAUCAGUUGUCUAUCCAAAAUAGAUAGAGAUAGAUCACUAUCAUUAAUAAAUCGUUUAGAUUCGGUACAAAAUCGUUUGGACAUUGGGUACAAGGGUUACAAGGUUAUUUAGACUGUGUGCAAGGGUACAAGAUUGUGUAUUAAGAUCGUUUAGAUUUAGUGCAAAAUCGUUUAGACUGGGUACAAGAUCACUUAUACUAGGUAAAAGGAUAUAAGAUCUUUUAGGCUGGGUACAAGGGAACAAUAUAUUGUGUACCAAGAUCCUUUAGAUUUGGUAUAAGAUCGUUUAGACUAAGUUAUAAGAUUGUUUAGACUUGAUAUGAGUCUAUACAAUCGUUUAGACUUGAUACAAGAGUAUAAAAUCGUUUAGAUUAAGGUACAAGAUAGUACAAAAUUGUUUUUGAUCGUUAUUUCAUGCGUAUGUGAUCGAGAGGUAUUUUUGUUAUGUAAGAGUUAUUUUGUUUGAUUUUGAUUGGUUUUUGGUGUUAAAUUGGUGUUAUCUUGUACAAAAAUGGAAGAAGAAAAAAGAGGGGUAAAAAUGACGCGGACGCCAGGCAGGGGAAAACUGCCGGAAAAGGAGGUUUGAGGUGAAGGCUGUCGGUGAGGGGGAAGUGUGAGAGAGAAGUGAGAAAAGAGGGGUUUCUGUCUUUUAUUCUUAUUUUUAUUGUUUGUUACAUUUUAUAAUUUCUACAACAGCAUUAUAAUAUAAUUUAAAAAAAAAAACAAAAAAAAAAACUAUUCACCAUACUUCCUAAGCCUAUUUUUCAAAAUUUAGAGAUAAAAAAAAAAAAAAAAAAAGUCCAUUUUAAAAGUUUAAGGAACCAAAUGCACCUAUUGCUAAGACAUGGAAACCAUAAAGAUAUCUUUUUAAUAAUAGAACAUAAGAAAGACAAAUAUACUUUACCAAUCCCUCCUUUGUGCUCACUCUUGUUAAUGCAUAUUUUAUAGCAGAGCAUCCAUGAUAAUGGUAUUUAAGAGAUUGUAUUUCUCUCUCUACAUUUGAUUUUCUUUGUGAGCCUAAUUAAAUUUUUUGAUGUGGAAAAAAAAAUCAAUCAAUGAACAAAAAAAGAGAAUCAAUAUUUAGGAACUUUAUCUUUAUAGAGACAACUUUAAUCGUAGUGUUUAAUUAAGAAAUUAUCAUUUACUUGUUUGAUAUCAAAUAAAUAGUAAGUCUAUAAAAAUAAUAGACAAAGAUAAUGUAUGACAUUAAUGAUAAUGUUGAUGAGGAGGGUACGUCAAAGGACGAACCCAUUUGUUUUAAAAGAACAUAGUUUAUUAAUUUGAAUUUUAUUGAUUCGGUGGAUUUGUAUAGGAACAACUAUGAUAAAGAUGAGAAUUAUUUUGCUGAGUUAAAACAAGUAUGUUGGUUAGAAGUAACAGGUUCAAUCAAGAAAGAUCUUGUGCCUGGAAAAACCUACAAAGCUUCUUUCGGUGUCUCACUAAGUCCCGAUGCUUUUGGAUGGGAUGAUUGUAGCGUUUACAUAAUGGCUAAGAUUGGUAAAAAAGGACAUUUCCAUUUGAAGAAAAUGAAUCUUACAACCAUACCUACUACAAGUACUGAUGUAAAAAUUUCCUUUAUUCCUACUCCUGGGGAUGAUUUGAUUGUUCAAGUCCCUCUCACCCAACCUGAUGAUGAUCUAAAUCUCUACUUUGGUCUCUAUGAAGUUUGGACCAAUAGGUGGAAGGGAGGGUUGAGGAUCCAUUAUGCAUUGGUUGAGAUGGUAAUACAUAAUGAUACUGCAAUACCCAUCACAACACAAUAGGUGACCACUCACAUAUAUUUAAAUGAUUAUGGAAGGGCACAUGAUCUUGUCGUACAUCAAACAUGCAUGUAAAUUCUUCAAAUUCUGUAAUCCAUGCAUAUCAUGUAAUAAAAUUCUGUCAUGUGGGUGUUUUAUAUUUAAUUUUAAUUCUUAAAUUUAUGUUCUAUCGUAUAUAAAAAAUAGAAUUGGGUUGACACUGUGAUAAUAUGAUUUAGCGAUAAUAGUUCAAACUUUUCCAAUUUUACAAAUAUAGCAAGUUUUUAAUUCGGUUGCUAUUUUCUAUUUUAAAUUUUUAAUUAUUCCACUAUUAUCUUUCUUCUCCGCCAUCCUUCUCUUCUAUUUGUUUCUGUUAGGUUUCUCCAAUCUUCUUCCUCUGCUUCUAUUCUUCUCCUCCUCUCCUAUUCUCCUUCUUUAUUCUAUCUCUUACGAGGAAAACAAUUUAUCUUUCCAAUAACGUACAUAUUUCUGCUCCCAUUUUCUAAAGCCCUAAUCAUUCUUUCUUAUGUGAGGGAAACAAUUUGUUCCUUUUAAUUGGUAAACUACAAUUGGUGUCCAAAAUUGGUAAGGGAAUUUUCUUUUUUUCAAAUAGAAGAAAUAUGGCCUUUGAUGUCGGUUGGAAAAACUGAAAAUUGAUUUUUAAUGUCACUUUUUAAAAUGUGGAUGUUUAUUGUCCGUUUUGAACCAACAUCAAAGUGGAAGGAUUAAUGUCGGUUUAAAAUCGACAUUAAACAUCCACAUUUUAAAAAGUGACAUGAAACAUCCGCAGUCCUUAAUUUUUUUUAUUAUUUAUUUUUGUAAAAUUAACUCUCUCCUCACUUUACUCAUUCUUCUUCCCUUUCGUCUCAUCUCACCCUAAACUUCCCAAACCCUCUCUUCUAAAUCACUCACUCUUUCAUGCCAUGGAACCACCACCGUCAAAGCACAUCCAAGCCGUCUUGUCGUCCUUCGUGCCCAGUGUCACGCCCCAUGCCCCAAAGGCCACUCUUCACAACCUGAUGAGGACUUGCUGCCUAGACAUAUCCAUUACAUUUCUCUCCACGAGAUAACGCUCUAAACGACUAGUAAGCAGAACAACUCUAGCUUACACUCGUCUCUUCCGCAAAGCUCUUCUAUGGAGCCUUAAAGAUCUUCACAACUUUCUGCAGUGAGAAAGAACUCUUCAACUUAGCUUCGUCGCCUAGCUCUUAUUUCUUUGACUUUACUUUGUUGCCUAGCACAACUUCACUUUAACUCUUAGGCGAUAACUUCAAUAAAUAACAACAAGACAGCUGAAAUAACUGAACUUCUCCUCUUUAUUAGUUUAACACUUAUAGGGUUCAUACAUUACAAAUUUCAACCCUCACCUUACUUUGCAUAAACGAAACCUAGUAUGAUAUUCUUGUCUAGUCCUUCUUCCUAGCAUGAUAUUUAAGAGUAUAAGACUCUGAUCUUAGUCCUUUCGCCUUUUUUCAUCUACAAUCAAUCUCAAGGACAUCUUUAGGGUUUCCUUUUCUUUCUUCGCCGCUUCAAUUGUUCCUUGAGGCGGGGCACCCAAAGGCGUAAGGUCACCUUCUCUUCUUUACCUAGGUCUCUCAGUGUCACGGGCAUGCUUGUCGAAGGCGUUGUUUACAUAUGGCAGCAUGCCCAAAUACCACAAAUUACUUUGUCUUUAUGUCUUGUACGUAGUUUAGUCUAUUACUCACAUUGUCAUGUCACUGAGCUAGAGUAUGACAUUUCGGCAUUUUCAUAUGCAAGCUUGCCAAGGCUAAAAUUGUUCAAAAUGUACUAUAGGGGAGGUAUAGUAGUUGAAUCCUGACCCAAGUCUUGUCGCACUCCUUGUCAGCUUAGCUUUUCUUUGCAAUUGACAGUCUUUAAUGCUUUCUUUUAUGAUGUUUUCAAUGAUUUCCUCUCUCUCUCUCACACAUUUUAUAAAAAAAAAUUCGCAAGAACGUGAAGGGAGGCCAUAUCAUAUCGCGAGUUUGUCCGCGACUUUUGUAUUUUAUACGGCUGACUUAUUGACAGAGAAGAACAAGUAUCGUACAAUCCUGUUUGAAAGGCUACAAUUGUGACACCUAGCACCCUUAACUUGGAAAACAAUCUUUAAGGCUUCUUUUCCCUUCGUCAAUUCAUUGACUCUUUUGAUCUCUGGCUUGGCCUCACCAGCCUAUAUGUGCACUCGUCUUCCUGUUGAACUGAGUUUGAGGCGUUAAGGAGCGAUGUGCUUACUAACAAGCUCCUUUAAAGCAUGAUGAGAUGUCAUGGCUAGCACGCCAUGUAAGACUGCAAGGUAACUUUACCUUCCCUCCUUGAGUAGCCUACAAUGCCCGGGAUCAAUCCUUCGCUUAGCUUUAAUGCCUAACAACCUAGAAAGGGGAAAAACUUAAAACGUAAGUCAAACAGACUUAGUGAGUGAUGAGUUGUAGAAACCCUUUUUGGAUAGUACAACAUAAUUAAUAAUAAUAAUAGGGUCAAACUACAUCGUAUAAACCUUAUCUCAUCCAACCACAAGCAUCUCAAACAUCAAUACAACAAUGCCACCGAUGCCAUGCACUUAGAUCCUCUCACAAUUUAAGUUCAACACUGAGAUUUUGGAUUUUCCCCUUUCCUGACCCUAGGACUCACCCUUAACCAGCAUCACGCAAAUUACCUGGGAUUCCCACCAACAUCUCAUCGCAUUCAAUGUUUCUCAAAACCUAGGAUUCUUCCCUCGUCGAGAUUUUGGGAUCCACAAAUUGACCAGUAUCAUAUGAGUUACUUGAGAUUUCCAUCAGCGUCUUACAAUAUAUCUCACCUUCUUACGUUAUUCCAUCAUUUUUAUCUGAAAGGUUAGUUGCUUAUCUACUUUCCUUACAUCGUGCCAUAGUAAUGACAAUGUUAUGGAAUAAGUAUCAACGACCAAAUAAUCCUCAAGUCAAUUAACAAUAGAAUACAUCAAACACAUAUCAAGUUUAUAGACACAAUAACAACCAUAAGAAAAUAAUAAAAAUCGAUAAUCAGACACUUUCGAAUAAUCCACAAGAGAAUUUAACAUAUAACACAACACGUUAUUUAGGAGAGACUACUUGUAAAACAUAUCAUCCUUCGGUAAGGAUUAACAAGAAUUCAUUCAUGAAAGAUUGCCCCAAAAUAAAUUUUUUCAACAUCGAAAGCAUUUACCUAUAAUUAUCAGCUUUGAAGUCGCGUAGGGAUCUUGUUAACAAUCAAAAUCACAUACAAUUAUUCAUAAUUAAUAAUUCAGAAAAUCAUAUUGAAAACUUAUUUAUCACUCACCACAUUCAAAAUUAAUAGGGAUCACUCAUAAAAUUAUUUAGCCUCUACUCCUUCUUCUUCUACUAUUUGAUUCCUUUCGCCAAGUGGUUCUCUUGACCGAUCUUUCAGCAUUCGAGUUUCUCCUUGACUUCCUAGUUUUAAAAAUCUAAUACAUUCGAACAACCUUUUUCUGUUGGACUUCGGUCCUAUUUAUGUCGAUGUCCCAGACCCAAGGGUCACUUCCCUUCCACCCACUUGUCACCUCACUUAAGUCACCGUGUCAUAUAGCCAACCCAAAACUCGACAUGUAGGUUAACCGUCAGUAGCGAUUGGACAUCCUUUCGAGACACACACUUUAUCUCCUUGGAAACCAAACUCUUUAAUCAUUUGAUCCUCUUAUCUUCUUGGGAAGCAACAGACAUUUAUUUUCCUCAACCAAUGGUCAAGUCAUUCUUACGAGACAGUUCCUUGUCUCCAUUUCCUUAGACGUACACACUUCUUCUCCCAUUAUUAUGCGGAGCGCAUAAGUCUUGGCGUCCAACACAAGUUUCUUCUUUGCCAACCACUCUCAUUGCAUCAUUUGCCUUCUAGCGAUAUAACUUAAGCAUUUCUUUUUGCAUCUUUUCCAUGCGAAAUAUCUCAUGGAUAACUUUCUAGCAAAGAGCUCUUUCGACAUAACUUCCUUUUUUCGAACUAGGGCCUCACAACUAGUCCCUCCUUUUGAGAAUUUCUUCCUCAAAAUUCGGCUCCAUCAUUUUCUUUCCUUUGCCCAACGCCAAACUUCCUCGUGAAACUUGGUGAUCAGUGUGAAAAACUACUUAUGUUCGUGUAGAGUCAUUGCUAAUUUGGCCUAUUCUCAAUAAUUUGUGCAACAUAAAGGAAAUCGUCUCUUCCUUCCUCACUCUAAGCCUUAUGGCGUUGUAUGUCCCUAGUGCGUCGUAUUAUCAACUCGUGGAAUCAUUUCACACGUCUUACCAUGUCUUUGUACUCCUCUCCCUCGGCUCAAGCGUUUACCACACUCUAUUGUCAAGUUGUAGCCAUGCGGAGUAGUCUCGGCGAAUUAGAGGGAUUCCAUCAAUUUCACUACGCAUAACCUAUCUUCCAAUGCCAAAUCACAUAGUAAGCAAUGGGCAUCCCAUACCAGAUCAAACAGGAAGUACGAGCAUCCUAUUCAAGAUCACACAACAUGAAUAGGACAUUUUAUUCAAGAUUACAUAGCAUGAAUAGAGCAUCUCAUCCCAGAUCAUACAGCAAGGACGAGCCAUCCUAUUCAAGAUCACACAACAUUAAUAGAUCAUCUCAUCCCAAAUCAUAUAGCAAGGAUGAGACAUCCUAUUCAAGAUCACUCAGCAUGAAUAGAGCAUCUCAUCCUAGAUCACACAACAAAGACGAGGCAUCCUAUUCAAGAUCACACAACAUGAAUAAGGCAUUCUAUUCAUUUGUAAAUCGUAUGUAUAAAGAGAAUUGAGAACACAAGAAAAAUCAUAUAAGUCUCGUUCAUACCCUCAUAGAAUUUUCGAGACCUUCAAAAUUUGGAGACAACUUGUAAGAGAACCCACUCCUCGUCACAGUUACCUAGCUCUCAAAUCUUCAACCUUUCAAAGCCAAACCACUUACCUAUUGAUAACUCGGAGGAAUACGAGUUUUGUAAAAUGAUGAAUUCCUAUAGUAAAAGAAUAAAAGGAUCAAAGAAAACGUUAGCAAUUUUGACUAACUUAUGGGUCUCGCAUUACCCACCUUACCCAUUAUCUGUGUGGCUUUCUCAAGUUGUGCCUCAUCUUUUUCCCUUCUCACAUCUCGAUCGAUGGAAUGUGCUUCUACAUUCAUUAUGGGCUUGGUAGCAGACUGUAACUUAGUCUGUCUUUUCCAUAACCUUAGCAUAGUGUAUCUCUCAACAAAUCAUGCAGUCGGAGAUAGUUCUCGCAUAAUUGAGGAGUCACGAAGUAAAGAUCAGCUCUCGUAUACUUAGCAUCUGUCAUAGCAACAAUUUGUACGCAAUACUACCCUUGGUAAAUAGCUUGCUCAUCAAGUCAAGUGUCUGACUACCUAGGUCAGACUACCAAAAGCUCUCUCCCUUUUCUAUGACUAAGCAAAAUCAACUUACUUGCCAUCAGACCACUUCAUCUUGAUUCCAACCUUGGCAACUUUUGUUCCAUGAAACUUAUGCUCUGGUACCACCUAUGACGCUUUGUCCCAAAGACCAUUCCUCAUAACCUAAUGAGGGCGUGUCACCUAGACAUCCAUUACGUUUCUCUCCGUGAGAUAAUGGUUUGGAUGCCCACUAACCAGAACAACUCUUACACUUGUCUCUUUCGCAAGGCUCUUCCAUAGAGCCUUAGAGACCUUCACCACUUUCUGCAGGUAAAAACAACUCUUCAGCUUAUCUUCGUCGCCAAGCUCUUAUUUUAAUACUUGUAAGUGAUAAGCAAAAGGACAUACACAGCAGAAAAAUAAUUUACAACCUUUGACUUUACUAUGUCGCCUAGAACAACUUAACUUUAACUCUUAGGUAAUAACUUAAAUAGAUAACAAGAAAACAGCCGAAAUAAAUGAACUUCUCCUCUUUAUUCACUUAACACUUACAAAGUUCAUAUAUUACAUAUUUCAACCCUUACCUUACUUUGCAUAAAACGAAACAUAGUCUUAUAUUGUCCCUUGUCCUUCUUCUUCCUACCAUGGUAUUUAAAAGUAUAAGACUCCGAUCUAAGUCAUUUUCUCUCUUUUCAUCUAUAAUCAAUCUUAAAAACAUCUUCUAGGGUCUCCUUUUCUUUCUUUGCCGCUUCAAUUGCUUCCUUGAGGCGGGGCACCCAGAGGUGCAAGAUCCUCCUUCCCUUCUUUACCUUGGCCACCCAGCACCCCUAACUCUAAAAACAAUCUUUUAGGCUUUCUUUUCCUUUCUCAGUUCUUCGCCAUUUUUGAUCUCUGGCUUGGCCUCACCAGCCUAAGCGUACACUCGCCUUCCUACCGAACUGAGUUUGGGGCAUUAAGAAGUGAUGCACUUACAAAUCGGCUCCUCAAACGUAUGAUGAGAUGUCAUGGCCAGCACGCCAUGUAAGACUACAAGGUAACUCUAUCUUCUCUCCAUGAUCAAGCUACAACGCUCGGAAUCAAUCCUCUACUUAGCUUUAAUGUCUUACAUUCUGGGAAGGGAAAAAACUUAAAACGUAAGUCAAACAGGCUUAGCGAGGGACAAGUUUUAGAAACUCUUUCUGGAGAGUAAAGUAGAAUCAAUAAUAAUAAUAGGGUCAAACCGCAUUGUAUAAAUCUUAUCGCAUCCAUCCAUAAGCACCUUAACAUCUGUACAACAAUGCCAUCGACACCACUCACUUAGAUCCUCUCACAAUUUAAGUUCAACACUGAGAUAUGAGAUUCUUCCUUUGCCUGACCCUGGGAUUCACCCUUAACCAGCAUCAUGCGAAUUACCUUGGAUUCCCACCAACUUCUCAUUGCAUUCAGUCUUUCUCAAACUUGGGAUUCUCCCCUUGCCAAGAUUUUGGGAUCCACAAAUCGACAAGCAUCAUGCGAGUUACUUGGAAUUUUCAUUCACGUCUUACAAUAUAUCUCUUCUUACGUCAUUCCAUCAUUUUUAACUGAAAGGUUAGUUUCCUAAUUACUUUUCUUACAUCGCGCUAGAGUAAUAACAAUGUUACGGAAUAAGUAUCAAUGAACAAAUGCCCUCAAGCCAAUCAAUAAUAGACUACAUCAGACACAUAUCAAGUUUAUAAACACAAUAACAAUCAUAACAAACUAAUAAACAUUGAUAAUCAGGCACUUUCAAAUAAUCAAAAGGUACAUUUUUCCUAUAAUCACUCACAAGAAAACACGUUAUUUAGGAAAGAUUACUCGUAAAACACAACAUCCUUUUGUAAGGAUUAUGUAACGCCCCAAAAUUUCGAGGUAAAUUUUAUCAUUUUAGGUUAAUGUUCGGGUUUUAAAAUUCUUCGGUGUUAAUUUUGGUUGGUUUAGAAGAGAAAAGAAAAAGAAAUUGAAGGGUAUGAUUUUUUUUAAAUAUAAUACAGUAUAAAUUAAUAUAAUAAUAAUAUAAUAUAAAUUAUAUUAUUAUUACUAUUAAUUAUAUUAUUAUUAUUAUUAUUAGUUAAUUUAUAUAUAUAUAUAUAAUAUAUUUUUUUAAAUAAAAUCAAAACCCUAAUUUUCCCUCCCCCACUUGUCUUAUUUUUUCUCUUUCGUUCCUUCUCUCGCAGCCGACGACACCAUUUUUCCCCCUUCAUCCAUUUCUCUUCACGCACUCGUCCCGUCUCCGUCCUCGUCUCCGACUCCGUCUCCGUCUCUGGGGUAGCCGCCCCGUCAUCGUCUCCGUCUCUGCCUCGUACGCCGUCAACUGCACAUCACCGACGGGAAGACAUCCAGCGGCAGCCGUCUCCAACCAUUCUUCUUCUUGGUUCCACGCGCACGGCCAACCAUCGGUCGUCUCUGCCUCGAUUGUGGAGUGUCGACCGUCGUGCAUCUUGCAUCGACGUAGGUAAUCGGGCAAAUCUCCUCUGCCGUCGCCACCGUGUGUUCGCUGCCGUGUGGAAACCAAAUCGGCUCAAAGUCGGCUGAGUUGAGCAGAGCUAGUCGAGUCGUCAUCCGUACCUGAGCCGAAAAGAGCCGUGAGCUAGCCAAGUCAAGCCACGAGCCGAGAAGGGAGCCAAACCAGACCGCGAGCCGAGAGCCGAGCCACGAGCCGAUAACAGAAUUGAGCCGAGCAGAGCCGAGCUACAAGAGCUGCCUCCCAAGCCAAGUCGAUUUUCCAAGCCAAUCUCUUGAUCCACCGAGCCACUUAAGUCGUGUCCAUUCGUGCUGAGUCGGUGAGUCUUGGUAAGGACAACGUGAGGAAUUUUCUAAUGUUUUCAAUAUUAAGUAAGAGCCUAAAUGUGGGAUUAAAAUGUUGAACUGAUUGGUUGGGUUAACUGUUGAUCUCCUGAAGGUGCUAGCGAAGUGACGCUCGAGUUCAGGAGUGUUACGACAAGUGUAGUUGGAACCAACUCUCCUUUAUUGGGUAAGUCGGUAGAAGUUACUUGGAACGUUUGUAAUGUGGAUUUCGAUGAUGUCAUUGUUAAACCCGUAUGUUCGUGUUUAGGUGGAUUCGUUUGGAAGCGGACUUGAACAAGAUUUUAGCUACAUCUCAGAUAAGGGACUUCUUACUACUGGACCUCGGAUCGAGGUAAGGGUACAACGAGGGGCAGACCGACGAGGGGCAAGAAGGAUGCGUGAAGGCCAUAUGGACACGUCUGGUUUUCUUAUGCUUCUGCUGAUGUAUUUUGUUACUCGUUAUUUUCAUUGUCAGAUCGAGUCAUGGUUAGAAUAUUUGGUUUGCGGUUUGUGUUUGAUGAUUUGAGCACUAUAUUUUGGAACACUCCUGAAUGUGAUUUAAAAUAGGGCGCGAAACUGCUUUUGUGAUAUUUUAAACGUUUUUAAUGAAUCAUAACCGGUCUUUUAUGAGCUUGCGUGUUUUAUUGUCGAAGUCUUAGUACUACAUAGUGACCUCAACUUAGUCCGGAAAGUUGGGUCGUUACAGAUUAAUAAGAAUUCGUUCAUGAAAGCUUUCCCCAAAACCACAUUUAUUCCACAUAGCCGAGGAGGCCGAGGAAGGAGAGCAAGACGUGUUCAACCUGAAGUGCAGCCUGUAGCCCAAGCCACUGACACGGCUGCGCCAAUUACUCAUGUGGACCUCGCUGCUAUGGAGUAGAGGUUCAGGGAUUUGAUUAUACAGAUGCGAGAGCAGCAGCAGCCUACCCCGCCAGCUCCAGCUCCAGUUGUACCCCAGAUCGUGCCGGAUCAGUUGUCGGCAGAGGCCAAGCACUUGAGGGAUUUCAGGAAGUAUAACCCCACGACAUUCGAUGGGUCUUUGGAGGACCCCACCAGGGCUCAGAUGUGGUUAUCUUCUUUGGAGACCAUAUUUCGGUAUAUGAAGUGAUCUGAGGAUCAGAAAGUUCAGUGCGUCAUUUUCAUGUUGACAGACAGAGGUACUGCCUGGUGGGAGACGACAGAGAGGAUGCUAGGGGGUGACGUGGGUCAAAUCACAUGGGAACAGUUCAAUGAGAGUUUAUGCGAAAUUCUUCUCUGCCAGUUUGAGAGAUGCCAAGCGGCAGGAGUUCCUGAACUUGGAGCAGAACGACAGGACAGUGGAGCAGUAUGAUGCGGAUUUUGACAUGUUAUCCCGCUUCGCUCCCGAGAUGAUAGCGACCGAGGGGGCCAGAGCUGAUAAGUUUGUUAGAGGCCUCAGGCUAGACAUCCAGGGUUUGGUUUGAGCCUUCCGACCCGCCACUCAUGCAGAUGCACUGCGCCUGGCAGUAGAUCUCAGUUUACAGGAGAGGGCUAACUCGUCCAAGGUUGCAGGUAGAGGUUCGACCUCAGAACAGAAAAGGAAGGCUGAGUAGUAGCCUAUUUCAGUGCCACAGCGAAACUUCAGAUCAGGUGGUGAGUUUCGCCGCUUCCAGCAGAAACCUUUUGAGGUAGGGGAAGCUGCCAGAGGGAAGCCAUUGUGUACCACUUGAGGGAAGCACCAUCUGGGUCGUUGUUUAUUUGGGACCAGGAUUUGCUUCAAGUGUAGGCAAGAGGGGCAUACAGUUGACAGAUGCCCGAUGAGACUUACCGAGAAUGCACAGAAUCAGAGAGCAGGUGCUCCACAUCAGGGUAAAGUCUUUGCUACCAAUAAGACUGAGGCUGAGAGAGCAGGCACGGUGGUGAUAGGUACGCUUCCAGUUUUGAGGCAUUAUGCCUUAGUUUUGUUUGAUUCGGGUUCGUCACAUUCCUUUAUCUCUUAUGCAUUUGUGUUGCAUGCCCGCUUAGAGGUAGAGCCCCUACACCAUGUUUUAUCAGUAUCUACUCCUUCUGAGGAGUGUAUGUUGUCGAAAGAAAAGGUGAAACCAUGCCAGAUUGAGAUAGAAGGUCAUGUGAUUGAAGUAACGUUGUUAGUCCUUGACAUGCUCGACUUUGAUGUAAUUCUGGGUAUGGAUUGGCUAGCUGCUAACCAUGCUAACAUAGAUUGUUCCCGUAAGGAGGUAGCAUUUAACCCUCCCUCGAUGGCCAGUUUUAAAUUUAAUGGAGAAGGAUCAAGGUCGUUACCUUAGGUAAUCUUAGCUAUGAGGGCCAGCAAACUGCUUAGUCAAAGUACUUGAAGUAUCUUAGUGAGUGUGGUGGAUACUAGAGAGGUUGAUGUGUCCCUGACAUCAGAACUAGUGGUGAGGGACUAUCCGGAUGUCUUUCCUGAAGAACUUCCAGGGUUACCUUCUCACAGAGAGAUUGAGUUUGCCAUAGAGCUGGUGCCGGGUAUGGUUCCUAUAUCCAGAGCUCCAUACAGAAUGGCCCCAGCAGAAUUGAAAGCGCUGAAAGUGUAGUUACAGGAGUUGCUUGAUAAAGGCUUCAUUCGACCGAGUGUGUCACCAUGGGGUGCACCAGUUUUAUUUGUUAAGAAGAAGGAUGGAUCGAUGCGCCUAUGUAUUGACUAUAGGGAGUUGAAUAAGGUAACCGUUAAGAACAUAUAUCCCUUGCCUAGGAUCGACGAUCUGUUUGACGAGUUACAGGUAGCUACAGUGUUCUCUAAGAUAGACCUUCGGUCGGGAUAUCAUCAGUUGAGGAUUAAGGAUAGGGAUGUACCGAAGACAGUCUUUCGUUCCAGAUAUGGACACUAUGAGUUUAUUGUGAUGUCUUUUGGUUUGACGAAUGCUCCGACAAUGUUUAUGGAUUUGAUGAACAGAGUGUUUAGGGAGUUCCUAGACACUUUUGUGAUUGUGUUUAUUGAUGAUAUUUUGAUAUUUUUUAAGACAGAGGCCGAGCAUGAGGAGCAUUUACGAAUGGUUCUACAAACCCUUUGAGAUAAUAAAUUGUAUGCAAAGUUCUCGAAAUGUGAGUUUUGGUUGAAGCAGGUAUCCUUUCUAGGCCAUGUGGUUUCUAAGGCUGGAGUUUCUGUUGAUCCAGCUAAGAUAGAGGCAGUCAUCAGUUGGCCCCGACCUUCCAUGGUCAGUGAGGUUCGUAGCUUUCUAGGUUUAGCAGGUUAUUAUCGACGGUUUGUAGAGAAAUUUUCUCGUAUAGCUACUCCUCUUACCUGUCAGUUGACCAGGAAGGGAGCUCCUUCUGUUUGGAGUAAGGCAUGUGAGGACAGUUUCCAAAACCUUAAACAGAAGUUAGUUACUGCACCGGUUCUUACUGUACCUGAUGGUUCAGGGAGUUUUGUGAUUUACAGUGAUGCUUCUAGGAAAGGUUUGGGUUGUGUUUUGAUGCAGCAAGGUAAGGUAGUCGCUUAUGCUUCUCGUUAGUUGAAGAGUGAUGAGCAGAAUUACCCUACACAUGAUUUAUGUUGGCAACGAUAGUUUUUGCACUGAAGAUAUAGAGGCAUUACUUGUAUGGUGAAAAGAUACACAUCUUCACGGAUCACAAGAGCUUGAAAUAUUUCUUUACUCAGAAGGAAUUGAAUAUGAGACAGCGAAGAUGACUUUCAUUAGUGAAGGAUUAUGAUUGUGAGAUAUUAUAUCAUCCAGGCAAGGCGAAUGUGGUAGCUGAUGCUCUUAGUAGAAAGGUAUCACAUUCAACAGCACUUAUUACCCGACAGGCCCCAUUGCAUCGAGAUUUUGAGAGGGCUGAGAUUGUAGUGUCAGUAGGGGCAGUCACUAUGCAGUUAGCCCAGUUGACGGUGCAGCCGACUUUGAGGCAGAAGAUCAUUGAUGCUCAGAGUAACGAUCCUUAUUUGGUUGAGAAGCGUGGCCUAGCAGAGGCAGGGCAAGCUGUUGAGUUCUCCAUAUUAUCUGAUGGUGGACUUUUGUUUGAGAGGCACCUCUGUGUGCCAUCAGAUAGUGCGGUUAAAACAGAAUUAUUAUCGGAGACUCACAGUUCCCCAUUUUCCAUGCACCCGGGUAGUACGAAGAUGUAUUAGAACCUGAAACGAGUUUACUGGUGGCGUAAUAUGAAGAGAGAGGUGACAGAAUUUGUUAGUAAAUGCUUGGUGUGUCAACAGGUUAAGGCACCAAGGUAGAAACCAGCAGGUUUAUUACAACUCUUGAGCGUACCGGAAUGAAAGUGGGAAAACGUGUCCAUGGAUUUCAUUAUAGGACUGCCUAGAACUCUGAGGGGUUUUACAGUGAUUUGGGUUGUGGUUGACAGGCUUACCAAAUCAGCACACUCAUUCAGGGUAAAUCCACCUAUACUGCUAGUAAGUGGGCAUAGUUUUACAUGUCUGAAAUAGUGAGACUACAUGAGUGCAAGUGUCGAUUGUUUCUAAUAGAGAUGCCCGUUUCACUUCCAAAUUCUGGAAGGGUUUCAGGCUGCUAUGGGCACGAGGUUAGACUUUAGUACAACUUUUCACCUACAGACCGAUGGUCAGACUGAGCGUCUGAACCAAGUUUUAGAGGAUAUGUUGCGAGCUUGUGCAUUAGAAUUUCCAGAUAGUUGGGAUUCCCACUUGCAUUUGAUGGAAUUUGCUUAUAAUAACAGUUUUCAGGCUACCAUUGGCAUGGCACCAUUUGAGGCCUUGUACAAAAAAUGUUGUAGAUCCCAUUUUUGCUGGGGUGAGGUGGGUGAGCAUAGAUUGAUGGGUUCUGAGUUAGUUCAGUCUACUAACGAAGCAAUACAGAAAAUUAGAUCACGUAUGCAGACCGUACAGAGUAGGCAAAGAGUUAUGCUGAUGUGAGACGGAAGGAUUUUGAGUUUGAUGUGGGGGACAAAGUGUUCUUGAAAGUAGCACCUAUGAAAGGUGUCUUACGAUUUGAAAGAAGAGGAAAGUUGAGUCCUCGUUUUGUUGGGCCGUUUGAGAUUCUAGAGCGAAUUGGCCCUGUAGCGUAUCACUUGGCGUUGCCACCAUCACUCUCGGCAGUUCAUGAUGUGUUCCAUGUUUCUAUGUUGAGGAAGUACGUGUCAGAUCCAUCCCAUGUAGUAGAUUACGAGCCACUAGAGAUUGAUGAAAACUUGAGCUAUACAGAACGACCCGUUGAGGUGUUGGCUGGGGAGGUGAAGAUGUUGAGGAAUAGAAAAAUUCCUUUAGUUAAAGUCUUAUGACGGAAUCACAGGGUUGAAGAGGCUACAUGAGAGAGAGAAGAUGACAUGAAAGCUCGUUAUCUAGAAUUGUUCGAGGAAUAAAACUUUCAAGGAAGAAAGUUCCUUCAGGAGGGAAGAAUGUAACGCCCCAAAAGGUUAAUGUUCGGGUUUUAAAAUUCUUCGAUGUUAAUUUUGGUUGGUUUAGAAGAGGAAAGAAAAAGAAAUUGAAGGGUAUGAUUUUUUUUAAAUAUAAUUUAGUAUAAAUUAAUAUAAUAAUAAUAUAAUAUAAAUUAUAUUAUUAUUAUUAUUAAUUAUAUUAUUAUUAUUAUUAUUAUUUAAUUUAAAUAUAUAUAUAUAUAUAUUAUGAUAUAUAUAAAAUACAUAUUUUUUAAAAAAAUCAAAACCCUAAUUUUCCCUACCGUGCCCUCACCUCCCCCUUGUCUUAUUUUUUUCUUCUUCGUUCCUUCUCCCGCAGCCGACGACACCAUUUUUCCUCCUUCAUCCAUUUCUCUUCACGCACUCGUUCCGUCAUCGUCUCCGUCUCUUCCUCGUACGCCGUCAGCCACACAUCACCGACGAGAAGACAUCCAGCGGCAACCGUCUCCAACUGUCCUUCUUCUUGGUUCCACGCGCACGGCCAACCAUCGACCGUCUCUGCCUCGGUUGUGCAGUGUCGACCGUCGUGCAUCUUGCAUCGACGUAGGUAAUCGGGCAAAUCUCCUCUGUCGCCGUCGCCGUGUGUUCGCUGUCGUAUGGAAACCAAAUCGGCUCCAAGUCGACUGAGUUGGGCCGAGCUAGUCGAGCCGCCAUCCGUACCUGUACCAAACCGAGCCGUGAUCUAGCCAUGCCGAGCCGCGAGCCAAAAGCUGAGCCAAGCGGAGCCGCAAGCCGAGAGCCGAGCCAAGCCGAGCCGCGAGCCGAAAACUGAGCCAAACCGAGCCAUGAUUCGAUAACAGAACAGAGUUGAGCCGAGCCGAGCCGCAAGAGCCGCCGCCCAAGCCAAGUCGAUUUCCAAGCCAAUCUCUUGAUCCACCAGGCCACUUAAGUCGUGUCCAUUCGUGUCGAGUCCCGGUGAGUCUUGGUAAGGACAAAGUAAGGAAUUUUCUAAUGUUUUCAAUAUUCAGUGAGAGCCUAAAUGUCGGAUUAAAAUGUUGAACUGAUUGGUUGGGUUAACUGUUGAUCUCCUGAAGGUGCUACCAAGGUGACGCUCGAGUUCAGGAGUGUUACGGCAAGUGUAGGUUGAACCAACUCUCCUUUAUUGGGUGGAGUCGUUUGGACGCGGACUUAAACAAGAUUUAGCUACAUCUCAGGUAAGGGUACAGCGAGGGGCAGAUCGACAAGGGGCAAGAAGGAUGCGUGAAGGCCAUAUGGACACGUUUGGUUUUUUUAUGCUUCCGUUGAUGUAUUUUGUUACUCGUUAUUUUCAUUGUCAGAUCGAGUCAUGGUUAGAAUAUUUGGUUUGCGGUUUGUGUUUGAUGAUUUGAGCACAGUAUUUUGGAACUCUCGUGAAUGUGAUUUAAAAUAGGGCUCAAAACUGCUUUUGUGAUAUUUCAAACGUUUUUAAUGAAUUGUAACCGGCCUUUUAUGA